UAAACGCUGAGGUUGAGAAGAUACACUCGGAUAUAAUGGUAGAAAACACUUUGAACCAUAUCUGAUGAAGAUCGGAAUCAUCACAGACCGUCUGGUCUCAGAAAAACCCUCAAAUAUCGUCGAACAAGAGCUCAAAAUUAACACCGGCAUGCAGAUAAACAUGAUCGGAUCGAUGUUAAGCUCUGAUACCAUGUGAAUGUUGAGAUUAUACGAGAGAAAUCACAGAAAGUUAGAGAGAGAAAGUAGAGAGAAGGAGGAGAAGAUUGAGAGAAACGAAGAGCCAGCUUUGGGAAAAGGAAAAGUAAAAAUCUGAUCUUCUGGAUCGUUCCAUCCUUACAGAGUAUAUACAAAUAUACUUACCUGGGCGGACCGGGUCGGGUGAGUAUUUGGGCUCAGAAAAUGACUGGGCUCAUAUUCAACAUCACAGCCCACAUCAGUUCAACAUCACAGCCCAUAUCAGUUCAACAUCACAGCCCACAUCAGCACCACAAACCAAUACUCCUAUACUAUAUACACUUUAUAUACAUCACAUAUACAAAAUAAAUUGUACAACUACUCAAUCGUCUAAGUAAUGUCAACACCCCCCCUCAAGUUGGAGGGGGACACCACCUUCAACUUGGACAGCAAAGGAUGAAGAGCAGUCCCAGUAAUGGGCUUUGUGAAAGUCAGUUUUGGGAAAAGGAAAAGUAAAGUCUGAUCUUCUCGAUAGUUCCAAUAUACAGAGUAUAUACAAAUAUACUUACCUGGGUCGGACCGGGUCAGGUGAGUAUAUUAAAUUGGGCUCAGAAAAUGACUGGGCUCAUAUUCAACAUCACAGCCCACAUCAGCACCACAGACCAAUACAGCCAUCAGCCCAAUACAUCAUUGCCCUAUACUCCUAUACUAUAUACACUUUAUAUACAUCACAUAUACAAAAUAAAUUGUACAACUACUCAAACGUCUAAGUAAUGUCAACAC
rnacentral:lncRNA from 1 species